GUAGGAUGGCAUAGUGGUAAUGCCCUCUUGCAAGUUUCCCAUAACUCUAUAACUUGCAAGAGUCCCUGGUUCAAAUCCUGGCCUACG